rnacentral:rRNA from 1 species
AUUGAACGCUGGCGGCAGGCCUAACACAUGCAAGUCGUGCGAGCGGCGGACGGGUGAGUAAUGUCUGGGAAACUGCCUGAUGGAGGGGGAUAACUACUGGAAACGGUAGCUAAUACCGCAUACCAUCAGAUGUGCCCAGAUGGGAUUAGCUAGUAGGUGGGGUAACGGCUCACCUAGGCGACGAUCCCUAGCUGGUCUGAGAGGAGGACCAGCAACACUGGAACUGAGACACGGUCCAGAAUCCUAGGUGAGGCAGCAGGGGGGAAUAUGGGACAAUGGGCGAAAGCCGGAGGCAGCCAGGCCGCGUGGGUGAAGAAGGCUUUCGGGUUGUAAAGCACUUUCGGCGGGGAGGCGUUACCCGCAGAAGAAGCACCGGCUAACUCCGUGCCAGCCGCCGCGGUAAUAC